rnacentral:rRNA from 1 species
UGAGUAACGCGUAUCCAACCUGCCCAUCACUUGGGGAUAACCUUGCGAAAGUAAGACUAAUACCCAAUGACGUCUCUAGAAGACAUCUGAAGGAGAUUAAAGAUUUAUCGGUGAUGGAUGGGGAUGCGUCUGAUUAGCUUGUUGGCGGGGUAACGGCCCACCAAGGCGACGAUCAGUAGGGGUUCUGAGAGGAAGGUCCCCCACAUUGGAACUGAGACACGGUCCAAACUCCUACGGGAGGCAGCAGUGAGGAAUAUUGGUCAAUGGACGAGAGUCUGAACCAGCCAAGUAGCGUGCAGGAUGACGGCCCUAUGGGUUGUAAACUGCUUUUAUAAGGGAAUAAAGUGAGUCUCGUGAGACUUUUUGCAUGUACCUUAUGAAUAAGGACCGGCUAAUUCCGUGCCAGCAGCCGCGGUAAUACGGAAGGUCCGGGCGUUAUCCGGAUUUAUUGGGUUUAAAGGGAGCGUAGGCCGGAGAUUAAGCGUGUUGUGAAAUGUAGACGCUCAACGUCUGCACUGCAGCGCGAACUGGUUUCCUUGAGUACGCACAAAGUGGGCGGAAUUCGUGGUGUAGCGGUGAAAUGCUUAGAUAUCACGAAGAACUCCGAUUGCGAAGGCAGCUCGCUGGAGCGCAACUGACGCUGAAGCUCGAAAGUGCGGGUAUCGAACAGGAUUAGAUACCCUGGUAGUCCGCACGGUAAACGAUGGAUGCCCGCUGUUGGCCUGAACAGGUCAGCGGCCAAGCGAAAGCAUUAAGCAUCCCACCUGGGGAGUAC